UGGGGAAUAUUGCACAAUGGAGGAAACUCUGAUGCAGCGACGCCGCGUGAAGGAUGAAGUAUUUCGGUAUGUAAACUUCUAUCAGCAGGGAAGAAAAUGACGGUACCUGACGAAGAAGCCCCGGCUAACUACGUGCCAGCAGCCGCGGUAAUACGUAGGGGGCGAGCGUUAUCCGGAUUCAUUGGGCGUAAAGCGCUCGUAGGCUGCCCGCUAGGUCCGGGGUCAAAUCCGGGGGCUCAACCCCCGCACGCCCCGGAUACCGGCGGGCUUGAGUCGGGUAGGGGAAGGCGGAAUUCCAGGUGUAGCGGUGGAAUGCGCAGAUAUCUGGAAGAACACCGGUGGCGAAGGCGGCCUUCUGGGCCUCGACUGACGCUGAGGAGCGAAAGCUGGGGGAGCGAACAGGAUUAGAUACCCUGGUAGU
rnacentral:rRNA from 1 species